UNUGACUUGAGUGCAGAAGGGGAGAGUGGAAUNCCAUGUGUAGCGGUGAAAUGCGUAGAUAUAUGGAGGAACACCAGUGGCGAAAGCGGCUCUCUGNUCUGUCACUGACGCUGAGGCUCGAAAGCGUGGGUAGCGAACAGGAUUAGAUACCCUGGUAGUNCACGCCGUAACCGAUGAGUGCUAGGUGUUAGGCCCUUUCCGGGGCUUAGUGCCGGAGCUAACGCAAUAAGCACUCCGCCUGGGGAGUACGACCGCAAGGUUGAAACUCAAAGGAAUUGACGGGGGCCCGCACAAGCGGUGGAGCAUGUGGUUUAAUUCGAAGCAACGCGAAGAACCUUACCAGGUCUUGACAUCCCGAUGCUAUUCUUAGAGAUAGGAAGUUACUUCGGUACAUCGGAGACAGGUGGUGCAUGGUUGUCGUCAGCUCGUGUCGUGAUAUGUUGGGUUAAGUCCCGCAACGAGCGCAACCCUUAUUGUUAGUUGCCAUCAUUAAGUUGGGCACUCUAGCGAGACUGCCGGUAAUAAACCGGAGGAAGGUGGGGAUGACGUCAAAUCAUCAUGCCCCUUAUGACCUGGGCUACACACGUGCUACAAUGGUCGGUACAACGAGUUGCGAGCCGGUGACGGCAAGCUAAUCUCUGAAAGCCGAUCUCAGUUCGGAUUGGAGGCUGCAACUCGCCUCCAUGAAGUCGGAAUCGCUAGUAAUCGCGGAUCAGCACGCCGCGG
rnacentral:rRNA from 1 species